rnacentral:rRNA from 1 species
GAUGAACGCUGGCGGCGUGCCUAAUACAUGCAAGUCGAGCGAACAGACGAGGAGCUUGCUCCUCUGACGUUAGCGGCGGACGGGUGAGUAACACGUGGAUAACCUCCCUAUAAUACUGGGAUAACUUCGGGAAACCGGAGCUAAUACCGGAUAAUAUAUUGAACCGCAUGGUUCAAUAGUGAAAGACGGUUUUGCUGUCACUUAUAGAUGGAUCCGCGCCGCAUUAGCUAGUUGGUAAGGUAACGGCUUACCAAGGCAACGAUGCGUAGCCGACCUGAGAGGGUGAUCGGCCACACUGGAACUGAGACGCGGUCCAGACGCCUAAGGGAGGCAGCAGUAGGGAAUCUUCCGCAAUGGGCGAAAGCCUGACGGAGCAACGCGGCGUGAGUGAUGAAGGUCUUCGGAGCGUAAAACUCUGUUAUUAGGGAAGAACAAAUGUGUAAGUAACUAUGCACGUCUUGACGGUACCUAAUCAGAAAGCCACGGCUAACUACGUG